rnacentral:lncRNA from 1 species
GCGGCACCACUUGCUGGGCCAGGGGCAGCGUCCUUGGUGGCAGUUGGAGCUCUGGCGGCCGCUGCGUCCUUCGGGGCAGCAGCUGCCUUCGGUGCAUGUUCCUUACCGGCUGCCAAGACCACACUGAUCAAGGCAGCAAUGACGAUGAUGGCAAGCGAGAUCUUCUUCAUUUCCAUGAUUGAUUGAAUGUGAACUUGAAGUGAUAAAACUCUGAGUUCCUUAGAGAUAAAUAUUGAAAAAAAAAAAACUCGUUCUUAAUUGUUCUUUGCAAGUGCGAGGAAUUGUGAAGAAAUACAAUUUUAUAGGGUGGAGUGCUGGUUAUUAUUAGAACGAAACACUUCUUGUUAGUUAGUGUUAGUUAAGAAUAGGUUUAGAAUGAACACGUGUCUGGUUUUGCAUGGCAUGGGGAUAUAAAGUGUUAUUAUUUCUUUUUCUUACGAGUGGUAUGAAUAUCCAAAUCAUUUUUUUUGGUUUUACACUUCAACCUUUUUUAUUUUUUUUAUUUUCUCCCUCUGGGUCUUUUAGUUUCUCAUAAUUUUUGGGGGUGUUCUACCACAUGCUGCUAUAUGGAUACAAGUAUAAACAAUUGUACGGAUUUAUAACAUUUUAAAUUGGUACGGAUACAAGUAUAAAUGAUUGUGCAUGACACAUUCCGAUCCGGAAUGUCCAUUUAGACUUCGAAUCGAGCUGUGCUGGCCGACACCUAGAAGGUGAUAAAACCAUUAAGUGUAGUAAGGUGGAAAAUUGAAUAAAGUGUAAUGAGGUGGGAAAUUGAAUAAAUUUAAACUUAAAAGUGCCUAAAUGGAAGAGUGUGCAUGUGAGCGGGAUUGAACCCAAUUCACAAGUGAUGUCAGAACAUAAGUAAAGUAUAGUAAAGGUAGGAUAAGAAUUAUACCAGGUAAUCACGUAUACCAAGAUUUGGUAAGAAUCCUUGUCAACAUGAAAGCUCUGCUACUAAAACCUGGAGGGGCGAAAAACAAGGGUGAGUGGGUCUAAAAAUAAAGUUUUGUAAAAACUUUUUUGAAAACGUAAUAACCCCUCGCCGUAAAACAAGUAUAGUUUCCACAUAUAACAUAUUACGUAUAGUAUAAAAAUACUUACCGUAUCCAGCAAUAUCUCAAUAAUGAAAUAUGUCACGACAUUUCGUAAAUAAACACAUAAUGUCCAGUAAUCACAUAAUUUCUCAUAAACAAACAUAUCAUAUCGAAUGCUCAUCGAUGUAUGCUGACACACGAGUUCAUGCAAAGAUCUUCUGACAUGAACAAGAUUUGGUGUAAUGAUGAUUUACGCUAUAGUAUUACAAUCACGUGAAGAUUGGCGUUAUGCACAUUACAUCCAAGUCCUAAUUGCCUAUAGCAAUCUUGGACAGGACUGGCACCUACAAUGGACCCAAAGUGAGCGUACGGUGCGAUGUGAACAUACACAUGAAUGACUAGCCCGGGCGAGUAUUAACACCAGUGCAGUACAAGAUGAGCAGAUAACGUAAGUAAGAUCAUGCAACGGUAAAUUGAUAAUUCUAGUCAAUAUAACACUAUUCAUGAUAGCAAAUAUAAUUAAGGCAUCCCAUAACAGUAUGCAUACUUGUGCAUCUCGCAGGAUUCAGAAUAAUUUCAUAAUUCUCAACAUUAUGACAUUUCUUAUAAACGUUAAUUUAAUUAUGAAAAUCAUGUAGAAAAUUCAUUAUUAAAUAUAUAAGUGAAAACUACACAAAUACACACACACACACACACACACACACACACACACUAUAUAAAAGAAAAGACCCACUCAUAGAUAGGCCUGGCAAACGGGUCGUGUCAGUCGUGUUCGUGUCGUUUUUGUGUAACACCUAUUAUCUUAACGGGUCGUGUCGUGUCAUACCUGUUAUCUUAACGGGUCCUUAACACGUCGGGUCAAGUGACCCGACCCGUUAUGACCCGUUAAGAAAAAUAUAAUUUUUUUCUUAAAUUUGCACAUAUCACACAUUGUCACAUAAAUAUUACUUCAAAACAUUAAAACACAUUUGUCGCUUAAGUACUACAUCUACACUCGAAAAUAAGAGCCUCAUAAAAAAUCACUACUAAUCUAUUACAAAUAUUAAAUGUGCAAGGAUAUGCAAAAUGAAAGCGUUUUUGUUUUCAAGGUUGUGAAGCCUUUUUCAAAAGUUUAAACCUUGCCAAUGGAACUCAAAGCUUAAUGCAAGUGAUCCACUAGUGUGUUUAUUCGUACUUUUAUUAAGUAUAACAUAAGAUUUUGUGGUAUCCACUAGUGUAAAUAUUUUAAAUUGAAGAUCGAAUUCAAUCAUUGUAUUCAUAUAGGGUCAAGGAGUGUAGUUGUAAAAAAUCAUCAAAAUCGAAGUUAAAAUAACUGUUAAAUUGUGAUUUUUCAUUUAUAAUCGUUGAAAAGUUUUGUCCCGUUACUUAAUCUUUAAAUGUUUGUUUUUUGUAAUUUUUGGCGUAUGCGAUCUCGAAGCAUAUACAAACAAGUAUGAUGGUUAGAUCGUUGAAACUAGUUUCGUAGAAUGCGUAUCCCAUCAAAACAAUAGAUUCACUAACACUUAAAAGUUUAUUCUUACUUUCAUUAAGUAUAACAUAAGAUUUUGUGGUAUCCACUAGUGUAAAUAUUUUAA